AUGAAGAUGGCGACUUGCAUUCGUAAGGUGGCCUUAGAGGAGUUUGGAGUAUCCAAGGGAAGGAGAAGCGAAGCUAAGGAUACCUGGCGGUGGAAUGAUGAUGUCCAGAAGGCGAUUAAGGAGAAGAAAGAUUGUUUCAGACGCCUAUACUUGGAUAGGAGUGCAGACAACAUAGAGAAGUACAAGAUGGCGAAGAAGGCCGCAAAGCGAGCUAUCAGUGAAGCAAGGGGUCGGGCGUAUGAGGGCCUCUACCAACUGCUAGGCACGAAGGAAGGCGAAAGGGACAUUCACAAGAUGACCAAGAUCUGCGAGAGGAAGACGAGGGAUGUUGGCCCAAGUCAAAUGCAUCAAGGACGGAGCAGACCAACUCCUGGUGAAGGACGAGGAGAUGAAGCAUAG
rnacentral:rRNA from 1 species